GAUGAACGCUAGCGACAGGCUUAACACAUGCAAGCCGAGGGGCAGCGGGGUGUGGCAACACAUUGCCGGCGACCGGCGCACGGGUGAGUAACGCGUAUGCAACUUGCCUAUCAGAGGGGGAUAACCCGGCGAAAGUCGGACUAAUACCGCAUAAAACAGGGGUCCCGCAUGGGGAUGUUUGUUAAAAAUUCAUCGCUGAUAGAUAGGCAUGCGUUCCAUUAGGCAGUUGGCGGGGUAACGGCCCACCAAACCGACGAUGGAUAGGGGUUCUGAGAGGAAGGUCCCCCACAUUGGUACUGAGACACGGACCAAACUCCUACGGGAGGCAGCAGUGAGGAAUAUUGGUCAAUGGCCGGGAGGCUGAACCAGCCAAGUCGCGUGAAGGAUGAAGGUUCUAUGGAUUGUAAACUUCUUUUGUGCGGGAAUAAAGUCGGGGACGCGUCCCCGUUUGCAUGUACCGUACGAAUAAGCAUCGGCUAACUCCGUGCCAGCCGCCGCAGUAA
rnacentral:rRNA from 1 species